rnacentral:rRNA from 1 species
UACGUAGGGUCCGAGCGUUGUCCGGAAUUAUUGGGCGUAAAGAGCUCGUAGGCGGUUUGUCGCGUCUGCUGUGAAAUCCCGAGGCUCAACCUCGGGCCUGCAGUGGGUACGGGCAGACUGGAGUGCGGUAGGGGAGAAUGGAAUUCCUGGUGUAGCGGUGGAAUGCGCAGAUAUCAGGAGGAACACCGGUGGCGAAGGCGGUGGUCUGGGCCGGCACUGACGCUGAGGAGCGAAAGCGUGGGGAGCGAACAGG